GAACGCACCUUGCGCUCCUUGGUAUUCCGAGGAGCAUGCCUGUUUGAGUGUCAUGAAAUUCUCAACUACUUUUUUAACAUUUUAUGUGUUAAGGGUGAAGUUGGAGUUGGAGGAUAAUUGCUGGCGCAACUCUUGUCUAAGGUUGCUUGUUGGCUCCUCUUGAAUGGAUGAGCUUUUCUAAUGGAUCAUAGCUCAGUAACACUAAUGUGAUAAUUAUCUACGUUAGAUGUGAAAACUAUGAGUAGAGUGGAAGCUCCUAUAGAAAAGAAGAUAAUACGUCUUGGGUGAUAACAAACCCUUGAACUUUGACAAAUCUGACCUCAAAUCAGGUAGGACUACCCGCUGAACUUAAG
rnacentral:misc_RNA from 1 species